rnacentral:piRNA from 1 species
UCAACCAGACGGCAGUUAUCAAGUC